rnacentral:rRNA from 1 species
UACAGAGGUGGCAAGCGUUGUUCGGAAUUACUGGGCGUAAAGGGCGCGUAGGCGGCCUUCUAAGUCAGACGUGAAAUCCCCCGGCUUAACCUGGGAACUGCGUCUGAUACUGGGAGGCUUGAGUAUGGGAGAGGGAUGUAGAAUUCCAGGUGUAGCGGUGAAAUGCGUAGAUAUCUGGAGGAAUACCGGUGGCGAAGGCGGCGUCCUGGACCAACACUGACACUGAGGAGCGAAAGCCAGGGGAGCAAACGGG